rnacentral:hammerhead_ribozyme from 1 species
AUCAAGCUGACGAGUCCCGAAUAGGACGAAACGCACGUUCCGGAU